rnacentral:rRNA from 2 species
UUAAGUUAUUAAGGGCGCACGGUGGAUGCCUUGGCACUAGAAGCCGACGAAGGACGUUACUAACGACGAUAUGCUUUGGGGAGCUGUAAGUAAGCUUUGAUCCAGAGAUUUCCGAAUGGGGAAACCCAGCACGAGUUAUGUCGUGUUAUCGAUAUGUGAAUACAUAGCAUAUCUGAAGGCAGACGCGGAGAACUGAAACAUCUUAGUACCCGCAGGAAGAGAAAGAAAAAUCGAUUCCCUGAGUAGCGGCGAGCGAAACGGGAAGAGCCCAAACCAACGAGCUUGCUUGUUGGGGUUGUAGGACACUCUAUACGGAGUUACAAAAGAACAGACUAGACGAAUCAUCUGGAAAGAUGAAUCAAAGAAGGUAAUAAUCCUGUAGUCGAAAGUUUGUUCACUCUUGAGUGGAUCCUGAGUACGACGGAACACGAGAAAUUCCGUCGGAAUCUGGGAGGACCAUCUCCCAAGGCUAAAUACUCUCUAGUGACCGAUAGUGAACCAGUACCGUGAGGGAAAGGUGAAAAGUACCCCGGAAGGGGAGUGAAAUAGAACUUGAAACCGUGUGCUUACAAGUAGUCAGAGCCCGUUAAUGGGUGAUGGCGUGCCUUUUGUAGAAUGAACCGGCGAGUUACGAUUUGAUGCAAGGUUAAGCAGUGAAUGUGGAGCCGUAGCGAAAGCGAGUCUGAAUAGGGCGUUGAGUAUUUGGUCGUAGACCCGAAACCAGGUGAUCUACCCAUGACCAGGUUGAAGUUCAGGUAACACUGAAUGGAGGACCGAACCGACUUACGUUGAAAAGUGAGCGGAUGAGUUGUGGGUAGCGGAGAAAUUCCAAUCGAACCUGGAGAUAGCUGGUUCUCUCCGAAAUAGCUUUAGGGCUAGCCUCAAGUGAUGAUUAUUGGAGGUAGAGCACUGUUUGGACGAGGGGCCCUUAUCGGGUUACCGAAUUCAGACAAACUCCGAAUGCCAAUCAAUUUAACUUGGGAGUCAGAACGCGGGUGAUAAGGUCCGUGUUCGAAAGGGAAACAGCCCAGACCACCAGCUAAGGUCCCAAAAUAUAUGUUAAGUGGAAAAGGAUGUGGCGUUGCCCAGACAACUAGGAUGUUGGCUUAGAAGCAGCCAUCAUUUAAAGAGUGCGUAAUAGCUCACUAGUCGAGUGACACUGCGCCGAAAAUGUACCGGGGCUAAACAUAUUACCGAAGCUGUGGAUUGUCCGUAAGGACAAUGGUAGGAGAGCGUUCUAAGGGCGUUGAAGCAUGAUCGCAAGGACAUGUGGAGCGCUUAGAAGUGAGAAUGCCGGUGUGAGUAGCGAAAGACGGGUGAGAAUCCCGUCCACCGAUUGACUAAGGUUUCCAGAGGAAGGCUCGUCCGCUCUGGGUUAGUCGGGUCCUAAGCUGAGGCCGAUAGGCGUAGGCGAUGGAUAACAGGUUGAUAUUCCUGUACCACCAUUAUUCGUUUUAAGCGAUGGGGGGGACGCAGUAGGAUAGGCGAAGCGUACGAUUGGAUUGUACGUCCAAGCAGUGAGAUUGAGUGUUAGGCAAAUCCGGCACUCUUAAGAUUGAGCUGUGAUGGGGAGAGGAAAUUGUUUCCUCGAGUCGUUGAUUUCACACUGCCAAGAAAAGCCUCUAGCUAGAAUUGUGGUGCCCGUACCGCAAACCGACACAGGUAGUCAAGAUGAGAAUUCUAAGGUGAGCGAGCGAACUCUCGUUAAGGAACUCGGCAAAAUGACCCCGUAACUUCGGGAGAAGGGGUGCUCUUUAGGGUUAACGCCCAGGAGAGCCGCAGUGAAUAGGCCCAAGCGACUGUUUAUCAAAAACACAGGUCUCUGCUAAACCGUAAGGUGAUGUAUAGGGGCUGACGCCUGCCCGGUGCUGGAAGGUUAAGAGGAGUGGUUAGCUUCUGCGAAGCUACGAAUCGAAGCCCCAGUAAACGGCGGCCGUAACUAUAACGGUCCUAAGGUAGCGAAAUUCCUUGUCGGGUAAGUUCCGACCCGCACGAAAGGCGUAACGAUUUGGGCACUGUCUCAACGAGAGACUCGGUGAAAUCAUAGUACCUGUGAAGAUGCAGGUUACCCGCGACAGGACGGAAAGACCCCGUGGAGCUUUACUGUAGUCUGAUAUUGAAAUUCGGCACAGCUUGUACAGGAUAGGUAGGAGCCUGAGAUACGUGAGCGCUAGCUUACGUGGAGGCGUUGGUGGGAUACUACCCUCGCUGUGUUGGAUUUCUAACCCGCACCAUUUAUCAUGGUGGGAGACAGUGUCAGAUGGGCAGUUUGACUGGGGCGGUCGCCUCCUAAAGAGUAACGGAGGCGCUCAAAGGUUUCCUCAGAAUGGUUGGAAAUCAUUCAUAGAGUGUAAAGGCAUAAGGAAGCUUGACUGCGAGACUUACAAGUCGAGCAGGGUCGAAAGACGGACUUAGUGAUCCGGUGGUUCCGCAUGGAAGGGCCAUCGCUCAACGGAUAAAAGCUACCCCGGGGAUAACAGGCUUAUCUCCCCCAAGAGUUCACAUCGACGGGGAGGUUUGGCACCUCGAUGUCGGCUCAUCGCAUCCUGGGGCUGUAGUCGGUCCCAAGGGUUGGGCUGUUCGCCCAUUAAAGCGGUACGCGAGCUGGGUUCAGAACGUCGUGAGACAGUUCGGUCCCUAUCCGUCGUGGGCGUAGGAAAUUUGAGAGGAGCUGUCCUUAGUACGAGAGGACCGGGAUGGACAUACCUCUGGUGUACCAGUUGUCGUGCCAACGGCAUCGCUGGGUAGCUAUGUAUGGACGGGAUAAGUGCUGAAAGCAUCUAAGCAUGAAGCCCCCCUCAAGAUGAGAUUUCCCAACUUCGGUUAUAAGAUCCCUCAAAGAUGAUGAGGUUAAUAGGUUCGAGGUGGAAGCAUAGCGAUAUGUGCAGCUGACGAAUACUAAUCGAUCGAAGACUUAAUCAA